UUCCGAAGAAAGCCAGAAAGUGGGCCUUCUUCCUUCAGCUCCGCUUCCUGCCAUUAACUGCGCCUUCGCUCGCUACUCUAUCCCCGAUCUCCCCUUUCGAACUGGUUUCCAAUCCCGCCGCCAAGGGCGAGGCUUCGGAGCCUCUACGACGACCUAGACGGCUCCCCCGGAGACGACUCCCGCUUCCGCCGCAGCGACGGCCGCAAAUGGCACUGCACAAGGGCGCCAUGGAGCACCACUACAUCCAGAACCAGGACAACAUCGAAAAGCACAAGGCCUCAGCCCGGAAAUCCAACCGAAGUGUUACGGCGCCUCCGUCGAGGAUGCGCGCUAAGCAGGCGGAACGCUCGGCGAGUCAAUUGCCCUCGAGCGGCGGGUGAAGCGGGAGGAGGAGAGUGGGGAGUUGGAGGCAGGGACCACGAGAGUUCCUCCCAGUGGAUUGAUGACCAUCGCGACAGCGCCUCCCGUUGGUGGCUGUCGUGACGAGGUCAGGGCGGCUCAGUAGAUCGGAAGGUAGGGUUUGAGGAGGGCCGCUUGCUCACCAGGCGGUGUAUUCGGUCCAAGAACGCGGAGCCGAUUCCCGUUGCGGCAAUAAAGAAAAUACCUGGUGUAAGGGGUUCGGGAAUGGGAGGGAAGAGGGUCUGCCACAGUUGUAAGGAGAAGAACGUUGUGAACAUGGUCCGGUGUUCGUGUUUGAGCUGUAGGAAGAGGUUCUUUUGCUCUUGUUGCAUAGAGAAAAGGUUCAGGCAACGCAAAUCCUUAGAAUUCCAUGGCGAGGAUGCAGCUCUUUCUUCUACACUACAUAGUACUAGCAGAGACAUUCUUUCUACUUGGCCGAUCAUCCUCUGUCCUUUGCAGCGUUCCAAACAGAGACAAAUCCAUUGACUAAAGACUUCCUUCUCUACCGUCAAAUUCUAAAGCUGUUAAAUGCUAUAACUUACCUUGCAACAACUCUGCACAACGAAUACAGCAGUAAGUUGCAGGUGCAAUCAAAGCAAAUCCUCAAGUUGCAGUAAGCAGCUGUAACUUUGUUCUACAGUUUGUGAAAGUAGUGCUUGCAGUAAAACCGUUCUUUGUCCUUGGUCAGUGCUCAUCUUAUAUUUUUAAACUUAUAUUAUAUUAUUGUAAAAUCUAAAUUUUAUUUUUGCAAUUUAAAUUUAUAUAUCAAUAUAAAAAAGUAUGAUUUUCCAAAAAUAAUAUUAACUAAAAGGAAAAAGUUUAAACGUUCUCAAAUGAAAACUAUCUUGUUUAGCUGCAGCCAUGUAUAUGCCUGACACCAUGUCAUCAUAAUUAUUACAUUGCUUAAUUAACUCACUACUAAUGAGUCAUUAGGUAUUGUCAUUCUCUGUCUAGUUAGUCUUUAUUUAGUUUUAAGUUCAUCGUUAAUCAUUAGCCAAAUGAAGAUUUUAAUCUUCUUAGACCUCGGAGGAGAUUGAACUAUUCUGCUGUCCACUUCUAGUAUAACCCAUCUGAUGAUUGAUGAUCAU